AGACCUUCCUCGACACCCCACGUUAUGUGGGUUUCCGCAAGACCUUCCGCCAUUGCCUGGGCUUUGAAAGCGCUUUAGGAACGGUAAAGCAUUGCUGUAACUUAAAGUAGUGUUACUCUGGCUUGACUGAAAUGUUCUGUGGAAACAAGUCACUGUGUUUGCAGUAGGGAAAAAAAGACUUACGGAUCAAAUCCAAAAUUUAAUGUGCAUAGGAUUUACAGAAGCUAAGGACUUCACAUCCAUUGUCAUAUCCAUAAUAAUAACAUAGCUUUGCCACACGAAAUACAGGAGAGCUCAUUUAAACCUGAAUUUCAGAAAAAUGGAGAUUUUUUUUAAAAAUAUAAGAAUAUCCCGUUUGGGUUAUACUUCCUGUUUGUUUUGGUUCGUUUUACUAAAUCUGAGAACCCUAUCUAACUCAUGGAAACUUUACAGAUACGGAAACGGAGGCUUAGAAGUGGAAACUUUACAGAUAUGGAAACUGAGACUUAGAAAAAUGACCCGUCAAAGGUAUGAGAAGUGGCAGCACUAAGGCUCUAGUUUGCUACGAAUAUGAUCCUGAUAAUUAAAUCUCUGAGUUUCUCUAUCAAUAUCUUCAAAAACUAGAGUAGUGAUACCUAUCUCACAAAGGUGUUGAGUAGACUAAAAGAAAAGGUAUACGAAGCCCGGAUACUGACUGAGCAUGUUCACUGUGUGUCCAGGCUCUGAGUAGAAGGUGAGCUGUGUGUGAAACAAGCUACCUGCUGACAAUAAAACAAGUCAGGCUGUGGGGCUGAUAGCUGCAGAAGAAUUAUGGGCAUCAGAAUAUAUUUUUAAAAUAUAAACAUUUGAUCCCGUCAUUCCACAGAUGGAACGCUGCAUUUAUAUAACUUGUUUAGUCAUCUACCAGUUUCAUUUGUCUUUCUUGCACUGUCCUGGAGGGCCUCACAGCUACAUUCGGAGGCCACAAGGCAAAUGUACAGUGUGCUUCAAUUGGAACAGGAGUUGCUGUGACUUCUCCCUUCGGAGCAAUCACUGUUGCCCACUCAUAUGGACAUACUGAAGGAAAUUCUUGGAACGAGGGUGUAGUAGAGAGGGAGCAGGGGAAAGAACGAAGGGAAGAUUGAAAGAAGAUGGAGCCACAAAGGAGCCAUAGCCUCCUCACACCUCAGUCUUGUUUUAUCUCUGCCAGCCAUUGUUGUGGUGGCUACUAACAUAAUAUAUGUUAAUCUUCUUACAAAUUAUUUUACUAAUAUCUUACUUGAUAUAUUGAACUUUAAUUAUCUUUCUCCUCAUUGCUCUUACUCCAUCUAUGUAUUUAUUUAUUAUUUUUAUUUUUUAUUUUUUUGAGACAGAGUCUCGCUCUG
rnacentral:lncRNA from 1 species